GAUGAACGCUAGCGGGAGGCCUAACACAUGCAAGCCGAGCGGUAUUGUUUCUUCGGAAAUGAGAGAGCGGCGUACGGGUGCGUAACACGUGUGCAACCUGCCUUUAUCUGGGGGAUAGCCUUUCGAAAGGAAGAUUAAUACUCCAUAAUAUAUUGAACGGCAUCGUUUAAUAUUGAAAGCUCCGGCGGAUAGAGAUGGGCACGCGCAAGAUUAGCUAGUUGGUGAGGUAACGGCUCACCAAGGCGAUGAUCUUUAGGGGGCCUGAGAGGGUGAUCCCCCACACUGGUACUGAGACACGGACCAGACUCCUACGGGAGGCAGCAGUGAGGAAUAUUGGUCAAUGGGUGCAAGCCUGAACCAGCCAUCCCGCGUGAAGGACGACUGCCCUAUGGGUUGUAAACUUCUUUUGCAUAGGGAUAAACCUACCCUCGAGAGGGUAGCUGAAGGUACUAUACGAAUAAGCACCGGCUAACUCCGUG
rnacentral:rRNA from 1 species